rnacentral:rRNA from 1 species
GAUGAACGCUAGCGGCAGGCCUAACACAUGCAAGUCGAGGGGUAGAACACUUCGGUGUUUGAGACCGGCGCACGGGUGCGUAACGCGUAUGCAAUCUAACUUAUACAGGGGAAUAGCCCAGAGCAACUUGGAUUACUGCUCUAUAGCAUUACGACUUGGCAUCCAGAUGUAAUUAAAGUUACAACGGUAUAAGAUGAGCAUGCGUCCCAUUAGUUAGUUGGUACGGUAACGGCUGACCAAGACGAGGAUGGGUAGGGGGCUUGAGAGGGAGAUCCCCCACACUGGUACUGAGACACGGACCAGACUCCUACGGGAGGCAGCAGUGAGAAAUAUUGGUCAAUGGUCGCAAGACUGAACCAGCCAUGCCGCGUGCAGGAAGACGGUCCUAUGGAUUGUAAACUGCUUUUAUACAGGAAGAAACCCUCCCACGUGUGGGAGCUUGACGGUACUGUAGGAAUAAGGAUCGGCUAACUCCGUGCCAGCCGCCGCCGUAA